ACAGGGGGUCAAGUGUGCAGCCCAUUCCCUGACCAGUGCACGGAGGCGUGUGACCAAGCCUUUCCCCAGUCCUGAGGCUGGUCGUUCAGAAGCAGUAGCGGCUGUUCUGGUCCGAGAUACUGAGGGGCAAAGCCUGGCUGUGCCCAACCCUGGGCAAGUUCCUCAAACCUGUCGGAACCUGUUCCCGCAUCUCUAAAACGGGGAGGACAAAGCGCGCCCUGCCGGGGAGCCGGAGGAUAGCCGACGCCUUCUGGGGAGCUUGGGCACUCGUGCAGUGAGCGAAACCGAGCUGCAUCUCCUCAGAUGAGGUCGACCCCGGACUUCCUGCUGGAAUGUUCUCCCGUGCCUCAGGUCUGCAGUGCGUGGAGUGGUGACAAAGACUGAGAAGGCGGGAAAUCACCGGACCCGAGGCCCCCACGGCCGCCUGUUAACCCGGUCGCCGCUUCCGGCGCGGGGAAGCGCGAGUUCAGGGCCUCGGGGUCCCGGGAGCCGGGCUGAUACCAGAAGCCAAGGCAGCCCCGCUGAAAACUGCUGCUCUGGCGGGGAGGCGCGCGCCGACUGCAGCCCCUUCCCUCCGACCCUUCUGUCCUGUCCCGGCGGGAGCCUCCAGCACCUCGUACCGGGAACACAGAGCUUCGCAGCCCCCUACUCCGGAACGCAGUCCCAGGAAGCGUCGGACCGGUGAGAGGACAGGCAGUUUGGGCUGCUCUCGCGAGAAGAUCUUCGAGGGCGCGGCGCCAGCUGCGUUUCACCACGUCGGGCGGAGCCGCGGGGCGGAAGGAGGAAAACCCUUGCGGGCCAGAGGCCACGUGACCGAGCCUCGCGGCGAGGAUUGGUCUGUAGCUUCCGGGCCACGCCUCGAGGGCCGGGCCUUCGCUCUCUUGAGUGCGGCCGCUGGCGGGGAAGCGUCCUCACGCGAGCUUGGGUGGGGUCCCCCUGGGCGUGUCGCUGUUAGGUCACAGCCGGCCUCUGAGGUGCUCGUUCUCCGGCCUCCGGCAGCGGGUCACCUUAACUGUGCUGAACUUCGCGCGCUGCCGGCCUCUGUUCUUUGGUCCCCAGCAGCAUGCAGGGUCGCUCUCCGGAGUGGGGCUUUCCCGGGAAAGCUCCAGGGCCCCGGAGGUGCUCUAGGGAGGCAAGCCUGCCACGCAGGGUCACGUCCUCGCUGUCCCCACUGUCGCGGUGCUUGAGGCGGGUUCUCGCCGCCCCGAGGGCACCCUCUCAGGAAAGCCCUUGCAGAGGCCGUCUUCUCCCCGCAGUAUCUGAACUCAGCCCGAGUCGCCUCUCACUGUCGUUCCACCCUGGGGACCCAUCCUGGGAACACAGAUCGGCACCCAAGACCCCUCCCCGCUCCCGGCCCCGCCUCCGGGUUCCCUCAGGUGCUUCUGCUGUGAAACCUCUACAGCGACGCACGGUUGCAGAUGUGAUUACGCCCCUUCCUGGCAGAAGGUGGCGGGCGGCUGCUGGCCUCCUUCCCGCGUCCGCCAGGUCGCAGAUGUGACUUCUGAGUGAAUUCACAGCGGAGCCUGCUCCGGAUCCCCCAAACCCUGCCUGAAUGGCUCCCGCGUGUCCGUCGUCCACAUCUUCCUCCGGCUCUUUGUAGCAUGAUGUGAACGCGGCUCACGGACACCGGAGAAAAAGCCUUACAGGCUUUUGACUUCUAGGUGACUGCAUCAGAAAUUCUCCAAGACAUUAACUGCAGAAAUAUUAGGAAGAGAACCUGACUAAGUGAUGGGAUAUUUCUCUUUUCUCCUUGCUCUUCUCGGUAAGAACUACACUGAAUUAGCACAGUAAUAAAGUGUUCUGCACUUGUGUUUGUAAGUGUUUGUGUGGGAGAAGAAUGUUGGUAAUUUACCAAGCCCACUGUCAAAAAGAAGCAGUAUAGUAUAAUUUCUGCCAUAGUAUAAUAAUAAUUUUAGUUCGGUAGGUUAAGCCAACUGCUGAUUAUUAAACAACAGUGAGCCCUGCCUUACACUCAAGCUGAAAGUCCCUUCAAUAAACAGUUGUACUUCUUCUGUUACCCAAAUAUUGGAGGGACAGUGAGGUUCACCUCCAGCUAUGCAAAAAUAAAUGGAAGUGUGCAUUUUCUUAAUGUCUAAAAGAAGACAUUCUAUGUGUGUGCUCCUAAUUCUACUCUCACUGAAGUAGUUGAUAAAAUUCACAGAUUAAGUAUCGAAUUAAAUAAUAAAUGCUAUUUAUUGAGUGUUUAUUGCCUGCCUGGCACAACAUACCUUAUGUGCACCCACUGUUCAAUCCAUACAGCAGCCCUGCUAUGAUGUCCACCUUGCCUAUGAGUGAACUGGGGCAAAGAAAGGUUAAGUAACCUUCCUGGAAAACAGGUGUUUUGUUAUGUGUUAGGUGUGGUGUUAUGGACUGAAUUGUGUGCCCCUACAAUUCAUAUGUUGGAGCCCUAACCCCCCAAUGUGUGACUGUAUUUGGACUUUAGGGACUUCAGAGGUGUAAUUAAGGCUAAAUGAAGUCAUAAGGGUAGUGCCCUAAUCCAAUAGGACUGGUGUUCGGAUAAGAGGAAGAGACACCAGAGAGCUUUCUCUCCUGCAGAUACACACGGAAAAGGCCACGCCAGGAUGCCACAAGAAGGUGGCUGUGUACAAGCCAGGAUGAAAGACCCUCUUAAGGUGUCCUCCUUUUAUUCCAUAAAACUCACUUUCCUUUUAAAGUCACCCGAGCUGCUUCUGGAAGGGAGGAGAGUGAUGGUAGCAGAUUCUCUCAUAGGAUCUGAAUAAAUCAUUUCUAAAAAGAACUCCCUUCUUUUUAGUGCUGCUAAAGCGCUGCUGCCCUUUUGACACUAUCCACCACAAACUUGUGAGGUAAAAUUAAAAAUUUCUUUGCACUUCUUCUUCAUCUUAGAAUAUUCCCACCAAAGUAGUAUGAUCAAAGUACUGUGUUCAGAAGUUACUUGAAUUCAUUCUUUUUUCUAUGUGGCUAUGUCAUCUAUUUUAGGUCUAGUUAGGUUCAUUUGUU